rnacentral:rRNA from 1 species
GACGAACGCUGGCGGCGUGCUUAACACAUGCAAGUCGAACGGAAAGACCCUGCUUUUGUGGGGUGCUCGAGUGGCGAACGGGUGAGUAACACGUGAGUAACCUGCCCUUGACUUUGGGAUAACUUCAGGAAACUGGGGCUAAUACCGGAUAGGAGCUCCUGCUGCAUGGUGGGGGUUGGAAAGUUUCGGCGGUUGGGGAUGGACUCGCGGCUUAUCAGCUUGUUGGUGGGGUAGUGGCUUACCAAGGCUUUGACGGGUAGCCGGCCUGAGAGGGUGACCGGCCACAUUGGGACUGAGAUACGGCCCAGACUCCUACGGGAGGCAGCAGUGGGGAAUAUUGCACAAUGGGCGGAAGCCUGAUGCAGCAACGCCGCGUGCGGAAUGACGGCCUUCGGGUUGUAAACCGCUUUCGCCUGUGACGAAGCGUGAGUGACGGUAAUGGGUAAAGAAGCACCGGCUAACUACGUG